GCGUAGAGAUGUGGAGGAAUACCGAUGGCGAAGGCAGCCCCCUGGGGUAACACUGACGUUCAUGCUCGAAAGCGUGGGUAGCAAACAGGAUUAGAUACCCUGGUAGUCCACGCCCUAAACGAUGUCAAUUAGCUGUUGGGCAACUUGAUUGCUUAGUAGCGUAGCUAACGCGUGAAAUUGACCGCCUGGGGAGUACGGUCGCAAGAUUAAAACUCAAAGGAAUUGACGGGGACCCGCACAAGCGGUGGAUGAUGUGGAUUAAUUCGAUGCAACGCGAAGAACCUUACCUGGUCUUGACAUGUACGGAAUCUUUCAGAGACGGAAGAGUGCCUUCGGGAACCGUAACACAGGUGCUGCAUGGCUGUCGUCAGCUCGUGUCGUGAGAUGUUGGGUUAAGUCCCGCAACGAGCGCAACCCUUGUCAUUAGUUGCCAUCAUUAAGUUGGGCACUCUAAUGAGACUGCCGGUGACAAACCGGAGGAAGGUGGGGAUGACGUCAAGUCCUCAUGGCCCUUAUGACCAGGGCUUCACACGUCAUACAAUGGUCGGUACAAAGGGUAGCCAAGCCGCGAGGUGGAGCCAAUCCCAGAAAACCGAUCGUAGUCCGGAUUGCACUCUGCAACUCGAGUGCAUGAAGUCGGAAUCGCUAGUAAUCGCAGGUCAGCAUACUGCGGUGAAUACGUUCCCGGGUCUUGUACACACCGCCCGUCACACCAUGGGAGUGGGGGAUACCAGAAGUAGAUAGGGUAACCGCAAGGAGCCCGUUUACCACGGUAUGUUUCAUGACUGGGGUGAAGUCGUAACAAGGUAGCCGUAGGGGAACCUGCGGCUGGAUCACCUCCUUU
rnacentral:rRNA from 1 species